UACGUAGGGUGCAAGCGUUGUCCGGAAUUAUUGGGCGUAAAGAGCUCGUAGGCGGUUUGUCGCGUCUGCUGUGAAAUCCCAGGGCUUAACCCUGGGCCUGCAGUGGGUACGGGCAGACUAGAGUGCGGUAGGGGAGAUCGGAAUUCCUGGUGUAGCGGUGAAAUGCGCAGAUAUCAGGAGGAACACCGAUGGCGAAGGCAGGUCUCUGGGCAUUAACUGACGCUGAGGAGCGAAAGCAUGGGGAGCGAACAGG
rnacentral:rRNA from 1 species